rnacentral:rRNA from 1 species
CCUACGGGAGGCAGCAGUGAGGAAUAUUGGUCAAUGGGCUUACGCCUGAACCAGCCAAGUCGCGUGAGGGAAGACGGCCCUAUGGGUUGUAAACCUCUUUUGUCAGGGGGCAACGCCGGCUACGUGUAGCCGGACUGAGAGUACCUGAAGAAAAAGCAUCGGCUAACUCCGUGCCCGCAGCCGCGGUAAUACGGAGGAUGCGAGCGUUAUCCGGAUUUAUGGGGUUAAAGGGGUGCGUAGGCGGAUGUUUAAGUCAGCGGUAAAAUGGCGGGGCUAACCCCGGGCCGGCCGUUGAAACUGGGGAUCUUGAGUGGGCGAGAAGUAUGCGGAAGGUGUGGUGUAGCGGUGAAAUGCAUAGAUAUCACGCAGAACUCCGAUUGCGAAGGCAGCAUACCGGCGCCCGACUGACGCUGAGGCACGAAAGCGUGGGGAUCGAACAGGAUUAGAUACCCUUGUAGUC